rnacentral:rRNA from 1 species
AUGAAGCCAACUGUUCAUUCAAAUCGGAUGGAGCUACAUUGCAUGCAUGUCCAACGAAUCCAUUCCAUCCAUCAACCAUGUCACAUGCAUGCAUGUAUCCAGGGAACCAUCCAUCACCGCCAUCAAUUGAUGUUACGUGUACAAAGACAAAAGCACCAUGACCAAAGCACUUGGAUUAGGAAUCAACUACCAACGUGGGCACUACAAUAUUUGGCUGUGCCAGAAGAGUUUGGCCCUGCCACGCUUCGGCCUGUACGCGUGGACCUACAGCAGAUCGAAAGAAACACAGCCAAACCGACUCGGCCGCAACAUCUGCAUGUAAUAAAUAGCUAUCAUAGAUUAGGGUUUAGACUUGGGUUUUAUUGUAUUGUCUAG